GCAAGAAAUUAUUUUUGUAGAAAGGUGUGAGUGUGAAUGCAAGAAAAUUGGAAAAUGGGUGGUGAGAUUUUUCCUAAGCUCCACACGUAUUCCACCCAAAGUCCCCAUCUUUUAUCCCCUUUUUGCUGCCCCAAAAGUCUUCCCCUUAUCUCAUUUUCUUGGCUGCAUCAGACAGAAAGUCCAGCCCUCUAUGCCUACUCUUUUCCUUGUUCUUUGUUUCUUUCUUUCUUCUCCCCCUUCUUACAUAGCAGCCCUCCCUCUCCCACCAAAACAAAAUAUCCCUCUCUAAAGAAGAAAUUAAAGGGUUAAAACUAAAAUUUCAGCUUCAAAUUGUUGGGGGUGUUACCAGUAUCCAAGUCUAAGCUCCUUCGACUUUAGUCUCUCGAUUCCUCUACUUUCAGAUAAGGGAUAAGUUAUAUGGGUAUUUGGUAACUCAUGAGGUUAUUUUAAAGUAUAUUAUGCAUUAGCUCUGCUGUACCCGCCCCUUGUUGGUUACGGCCAACUUGUGGGGGAAGCCAACCUACCCCCAUGGUUGGAAGAUAUAUAUUAUGAUAUAAUCCCGAGAAUACCUAGCAUUGUGGGGAAUGUUGGAUGCCUAGCACCGUGAUGCUAGAAGCCAUCCAAAUAAGUACAGACUUAUUAGAUAUGGGCUAACCAAUAAGUUAGUUAUGAACAACUAUAUUAUGUUAUUAAUCAUGAGAUAAUGAUUUUGUUAAAUGCAUUGUGAAAAGUUAAAAGCUCUCAUGAAAAUAAGAAGUUUCUGAUGAAAAGAAAAGCUGUUCAUUAAAGAUAAAAAUUUCUGAAGUUCUAUUGUGCUAUAAAGAUAAAACUUCUGAUGAAAGUGCAAGUUAUGUUUGAAAGUUAUCAGAUAUCUGUUCUUUAUGAAAUUUUAAGUUUAUUGACUAUGAAAGUUAUAAUAUUUUUCAGGAAAAUGUUUAUAAAGAAAGAUUUUCUUAUUGGGUCAAGAUGUUUCUAGUUUAAUACAAAGUUGCUGAUUAUCUGAUUUAAGUUAAAAUAAUUAUUUUGUAAUGAAAAUAUAUAUAUGGCAACUUUGUAGGAAAUGAAAGAAGUUUAAUCCGAAAGGUUUUGGUAGUAUUAACCCGAUAAGAAAAAAGAGAACAAUUAUUUUCUAUGAAGAGCAUAUAAGCUAUUAUUAUGACUAAUAUAAAAUACUAUACAUGAAAAGAUAUUCUCCUGUUCGAAUAUUCAUAGAAUGAAAUGAUUUGAUUUACAUGCAUCCUUAUUGAAUUCUCAUAUAUCUUACCUUUACUGGGCUGUGUAACUUAUCCCUUCCACUCUUUUAGUUAGCAGGUUUUAUUUUGGAGCAGAGGGAGCCUUAGUCGAGUUUGGAAGGAGCUUGUUUUAGUUUUAUAUGUAUAGAUCCUAAAUUAGCAAUUUGAUGUUUAGAUUUGUAAUAUAGUUAAUUUUAGGAUCUAAUUAAAGUUGUGUACCUUAAAGUAUUAAGAGAUAUAUUAUGUAAAAUUCAGAAUUUGAGUAAUUGGUGAAUUAUGUUAUUCUUUGGAGUACAA